GAGGGCUGGGGGGGCCAGAGCGAUGGUGCUGGCGUCGUCCGCUGAUCCUGUUCAGGCUCAGCAACCAGCUGGUGCUGGCCUUCAAGGAGGACAACACAGUGGCCUUCAAGCACCUGUUGGGCUACAAAGACGGCACCAGUGACACCCAGGCCAUCUACACCUGCAGGAACCUCCUGGAGCACCUGGCCUUUGUCCUCAAGAAGGCAUAUCAGCAACACCAGCCCCUGUAUGAUAUCAUUAGCAUUUAGAGAAUAUUUGAACCCUUUGAAGACUGGUGGGGCAGACCCAAAGAGCUGGGUGAAGGAUUGGGAGAGAAUUUCCCCUGAUGUCAUUUCCUCACAGUGGUCUGGCCUGGUCAGAGAAGCUGUGCGUUGAGGUCUGAGCCAGUGUGGACAACCUUGCUCAACAUUCCCAACCCCAUCCUGUCUCUCCUCACUCACCUGGGACCUGCUUUGCUUGGAGAACUGGCUGCACUCAGGCAAAUUGGGGGUUUAUUUUUUUGAAGCAAUCAAAAAUUUCUGAGUUUCCUCAUUGAAAAAUGAGGAAAGACACCCUCCUCAAGUGUGUGCCAAGCCCAAGCUGCCACCAAGGACAUUCCCCAAGACAGAACUCUGCAAGAAAUGUUUUAUUCCUUUGGAUUCUUUGAUUCCACGAGGCCCUGCUGUGUCACAAUGGACCCUCAGUUCCACGGGGCUGCACAGUGUCACUUUGGCCCUGAUAUAGGCUUAAACAGACUAUAGGUGGCUGUGUAAUCAAGGCUUAAACAGACUAUAGUUUACAGUGUAAUCAAGAAAAGAUGGUCCUUUUCCUAUAUUGCUCUGUAAUCAAGAGCAGAUGGUCCUCUUUCCUAUGCUUUAAGGGGAUCCUUUAUACCUUAAGGGAAUAUAGUUUAUUGUUUAAGACUAAACAAGUGCUCAAAAAAAUGGUAGAAACUGGAUCUGUGUUUUGGACCAUGGCCAGAAGCCUUGGAGAAUGGCCAGAUGUGAAGAGAGUCUGCGCAAAGACCAGGUUCAUUCAAAGGGCAUACUAGGAAGACUGCUUACUUCAUCCCAUGACCACUGCCCAAAAGACCCCCAGAAAGCAAUGUGUCUUAGUUUGGAAAGACAGGUGUCUGCUAAGGAGGCAGGAGCCUCCCCUGAAAUAGAAAAAUGUAAACCCCCUCCCUCCAAAUUGUUAUAAAUUUGAAAUUAAGGAGCUCUCAGACAAAAAUAUGGGAGCAGGAAUAACAGUUCUUUAUUAGGGAAGAAAAUAAAAAGAUAAAAUAAACAAUGCAGCAGACCAAAACAACACUGUCAGAGUCAGAACACAACCUGACGUCCUGUUGGUCAGGGUGUUGGUAGGAAUCCAAUUGGAAAUGUGGCUGCAGUCCUCCUGGAGUGUCAGGGGUGGUUCUGUUGGAGCAGGGAUCCUGUAGAAGGGUGUAGUCUUCCUCUGAAGAUCCAGUGGAGAGAGCUGUGCUGGUGUUCCAGAAACUCCAGAUUAUAUCCAGCUAGGAGUGCUCGGCUCUCCCCUCUGGGCAGAGCAUCUCACAAUGGGAUGCUAUAGUUCUUAUCAGUCAUGCAGCAACAUUCAAUAGCCCGUUAUCAGCAGAUGUCUCCCUCGUUGUGGAAGAGAUAAGGAAAACUGCCCACUUAACAGAAGACAACUGCCAUACAGAUGGCAAAUAGAAUACAAUUUGCUUGGCAAUCCAAGACACAGUGCUAAAAGCGUGCAGGCGCAGAACAAUAAAAACUGAUUAACAUACGAAGUGAGAGCAGGUGAGGAUAGGUUAUGGAUAUGUGUAGGUGAUGACAAAUAUGUAUGAGCUUAAGUGUAUUUAAUACAGUGCAUCUGCUCUGCUGGACACACACGGCUUUGAAGAAGUGAUUCCCCGUGUGUCCAGCACUGAAUAAACAAACAUAUCUACUUCAGUAACCUGCUGGUUGUGGAGUCUUUAUUUCUACGUGUCAGUUGGUGAGCCAGUCAGGAGUCUCUCUGCUCGUCUGCAGGACUGACUGGAGGAUGAUGCCCUAGGCACGCCCUGAGCCCUUUUCUUGGAGUAACUCC